AGCGAGGGGUCCAGGGUGUGGGAAACGGGGAGGGGUUUGAGGAGGGGAUCGGAAUGUGGCUCAAGUUCGGGAGGCGUUACCUGCGGAGGGUUUGAGGCAGGCCCAGGAGCGAGCCCAUGGUCUUCCGACGCGGGGCCAGGGGCGGGGCCCAGGAUCCGGAGCUUCGUGCGGGGCCGAGUCCAGCUGUUGUUCCCCACCAGAACCAAAUGAGCGCAAGAUCUGACAAAGAAAAAAAAAGGUUCAUCUUUUAUUCCUCCAAACACUUUCAUUUAAAUCAAGAGGAUGGGAUGUGGUUAUUGCUGUGUUUUUAGACAGAAUCAACGGUUUCUGGGUCUGAGAUGUUGCAUACACCUUCUCAGUCCCUGUAUCCUGAGAUGGAGUCACCUGAGAAUCCACAGCAAGUCCUAACCAGGGAUGGGUCUGGGUGAUUAAGGAAGGUUGGCUUCAGAACUGGGCCAGGGGCACUGCUUUGCUUUUGCUGUUUUGAUCAGCUCUCUGCCUGAAGGAGACAAGAAAAACCAACGGGAACAGCCCAGUAAAGGCGCCAUUCCCCAUUUUACAGCUGGGGAAACUGAGUUACAGAGCUUGUCUGCACUGAGUCAUCAGGAGCAAAUGCUAGAUCAGAUAGGGUCUCUCUCUCUGCCACCCAGGCCAGAGUGCAGUUGACGCAGGGCAGGGGAGCCCCGAAGUGGAGCAUAGUGUGUCCGGAACUGGUGGGUUCUUGGUCUCACUGACUUCAAGAAAGAAGCCGCGGACCCUCGCGAGACGGGGUCUUGCUCUGUUGCUCAAGCUGGA
rnacentral:lncRNA from 1 species